GCGCCUGACGCUGCGGGGCCGUUCGGGCCCUGACUUCCGGAGGGCUGGGCUCUGGUGGUCCGCACCGCGUGCGCCAGUUAAAGACUCCUGUCUGCCGCCCAGGACGGACGGCGACCCAGCCCUACCCCAUCCCCAGACCCUGGACCCAGACCUGGACUCUGCCCCGAACCUCACCCCCGGGACCCAGGCCCCGGCCCUGCCCCGAACUCCCACUCCACACCCGGGACCAAGGUCCCAGCCCUGACCCGAACUCCCACCCCACACCCGGGACCGAGGCCCCGGCGCUUCCCCGAACUCCCACCCCACACCUGGGAUCAAGGUCCCAGCCCUGCCCCGAACUCCCAACCCCACAUCUGGGAUCCAGGCCCCGGCCCUGCCCCGAACUCCCACCCCACACCCGGGACCGAGGCCCCGGCGCUUCCCCGAACUCCCACCCCACACCUGGGAUCAAGGUCCCAGCCCUGCCCCGAACUCCCAACCCCACAUCUGGGAUCAAGACCCCUGCCCUGCCCGGAAUCCCCGCCCCACACUCGUAACCAAGGCCUAGGUUCAGCCCCGGAAUCCCCAAGCCCACACCUGGGAUCAAAGCCCCGGCCCUGCCCCGAACCACCAACUCACACCCGGGACCAAGGCCCCAGCACCACGUUUCCCAGAGGCGCUGGGGUCGGGCCCACGUUGGAACGAGUCAGAUGCUCUUGGCAGCUCAGGGAGGCGUUCACACUCCUGUCAUUUGCUUGAGGAUGGUGACGACUCCGAAGUAUAGCAGUAUGCUUUACCUACCCCGAUCAAUUUUAUGGAAGAAAAGGAAACCAAACAAAGCAUGGAAGAUAGAAGGCACAGUUCCAUUCAGCAAGGCAAACAGCAAACAUGCUGCGGCUCUUGGCAGCAGGAUGGCCAUUGAACGACCCACAUAUUCUGAGGCCAUCGCAACGCCAUCCCAGGCAGUCAGGACACACCACGCAGUACCGGGAAGGACGAAAGAAGUGACAGCCUGCUACGACAGAACGAAACGUUCUCUGGCCCUGGAAGGAGGCGGCUGCGGAGUCUCCGAUUUUCUCGAUUGACUGAGGAAUACCGGUUUCUUCUUUAAAUGUAAAAACUCCCAAAUCAUGAAGUUAAUGAAAUGCUUUUUAAAUUAACAAAUCAAACAAAAGUGGUUGAAAACUUGCCACGCUGGAACUCCUGGCAGUGUGAUAGUGGACCCCGGACCUGAGGAGGGCAGCAUAGGGGACCCCUGAGAGUGAAGUCCUCGGGCCCGAAGUCGCUCCCACCGCCGGCCGCCCGCCGCAGCCCACCUCCAAGCUUCCUGCGCUGCUCCCUGCUGGUGGGACCCAUGGUGUGCAUUCAUUCAGCUCACACAUGGUCAAAGACGCAGCUCCAAAUACCAAGCGACGCUGCUUGGUUUUUAAAAUUAAACUGUUAAUUUUGAGAUAAUCGUAGCUUCACAUGCAUUUGUAAGGAAUAAUACAGAGAGGUCUUGUUCACCCUUUACCCAGUUUUCCCCAA